rnacentral:rRNA from 1 species
GAUGAACGCUGGCGGCGUGCCUAAUACAUGCAAGUCGAGCGAACAGACGAGGAGCUUGCUCCUCUGACGUUAGCGGCGGACGGGUGAGUAACACGUGGAUAACCUACCUAUAAGACUGGGAUAACUUCGGGAAACCGGAGCUAAUACCGGAUAAUAUAUUGAACCGCAUGGUUCAAUAGUGAAAGACGGUUUUGCUGUCACUUAUAGAUGGAUCCGCGCCGCAUUAGCUAGUUGGUAAGGUAACGGCUUACCAAGGCAACGAUGCGUAGCCGACCUGAGAGUGUGAGCAGGCACACUGGAACUGAGACACGGUCCAGACUCCUACGGGAGGCAGCAGUAGGGAAUCUUCCGCAAUGGGCGAAAGCCUGACGGAGCAACGCCGCGUGAGUGAUGAAGGUCUUCGGAUCGUAGAACUCUGUGAUUAGGGAAGAACAAAUGUGUAAGUAACUAUGCACGUCUUGACGGUACCGAAUCAGAAAGCCACUGCUAACUACGUG